UGGGGAAUUUUGGACAAUGGGCGAAAGCCUGAUCCAGCAAUGCCGCGUGUGUGAAGAAGGCCUUCGGGUUGUAAAGCACUUUUGUCCGGAAAGAAAUGGCUCUGGUUAAUACCUGGGGUCGAUGACGGUACCGGAAGAAUAAGGACCGGCUAACUACGUGCCAGCAGCCGCGGUAAUACGUAGGGUCCAAGCGUUAAUCGGAAUUACUGGGCGUAAAGCGUGCGCAGGCGGUUGUGCAAGACCGAUGUGAAAUCCCCGAGCUUAACUUGGGAAUUGCAUUGGUGACUGCACGGCUAGAGUGUGUCAGAGGGGGGUAGAAUUCCACGUGUAGCAGUGAAAUGCGUAGAGAUGUGGAGGAAUACCGAUGGCGAAGGCAGCCCCCUGGGAUAACACUGACGCUCAUGCACGAAAGCGUGGGGAGCAAACAGGAUUAGAUACCCUGGUAGUCCACGCCCUAAACGAUGUCAACUAGUUGUUGGGGGAUUCAUUUUCCUUAGUAACGUAGCUAACGCGUGAAGUUGACCGCCUGGGGAGUACGGUCGCAAGAUUAAAACUCAAAAAGAAUUGACGGGGUCAUAGCUGUUUCCU
rnacentral:rRNA from 1 species